rnacentral:lncRNA from 1 species
UGAUUGGAGGUGUGCUGAGUGUUCUACGCUGAAGUCCACCCCUUGAGACUUGGCAACAGUGAGGGAAAUCCUGAUUGGUGAUCUGGUUAGCCAAGACUCUCGGGUUGGUAGAGGCUCCUCUGCUGCACGAGCCCUGCGAGCUCUGCGCUUGGGCUUCGUGGAGUCCCACUGAGGAGAUGGCUACCAGGUCAAGCCUGACGGCUCCGUGGAAGGGGAUGACAGCCUUUCAAGGCAGAGGAAAUGUGUCCUUUCUAGAUAUGUCUCUAGAUGACAUUAUACUCCUUAAAAACUCAGGAGAUGGCAGCACUGAAGAAAAAAAGGGCAAGUUUGAGGAUGAUAUGAAAAAGCCAGGAACUUCAGGAGAACAAUCGGAUGCUCAUGAGCAUCCCUGGCAGAGAGGACAUGCAAAAUACUCUAAGGAAAGAAGUGAUAAUGAUAGCGAAUCCAAAUCCGGCGAAGAAGAUUCUGUAUCCAAAUCUGGACAAAGCCCUUUAAACCAGCAGCCUUUACAAAAGCAGGAGAAAUGCAACGAUGAUUAUAAGGCUCAAUUGGAGGAAAAAGAGCAACAGUCGGAAGGAAAUCGAGACAACUUAGAGAGAUCUCAUGAUCAACCCAAGAGAUUUCAUGGGCAAUCAGAGAGAUCGCAUGGCCCCUCAGGGAGAUCUCAUGGCCACUCAGAGAAAUCUCAUGGCCACUCGGAGAGAUCUCAUGGCCACUCAGAGAGAUCUCAUGGCCGCCCGGAGAGAUCUCAUGGCCGCUCAGAGAAAUCUCAUGGCCACUCAGAGAGAUUUCAUGGCUACUCAGGGAGAUCUCAUGGCCACUCAGGGAGAUCUUAUGGUCAAUCAGAGAGAUCUCAUUGCCAGUCAGAGAGAUAUGGAAGAUACUUUCCAGGAAGAAGAUUCAAAACAUCAUUCAAAAGUGAUUCUCAAUUUGACGGGCAUUUUACAAUAAAAAAAGGAAAUGACUUCUUUUACAAAAGGAUGCCUCAAAGAAAUGAUCCAAUGGAUAUGAAUCGAGAGAUAACACUGGAAGAUGAGUAUAACUCCUAUGAAACCAAAAGAAGUUAUGCAAGAUAUGUGAGCCAUGGAGAGAAAAUCUUGUUUCUAAAGAAUAGAAAUGUUGGGGAGGAUUCUCUGUACCAGCCCAAAGGAGUAUACUUGAAAUUCAACUAUCAAGCACUGGGAAAUAAGGUAAAUGGAAUAGAAUUGCACCAUAAGCUUGUUCACUAAAUGUUAAAGAAUUUGUGUCUAUUUUAGACCUACUUGGUAUAUAUAAGAGUAUUAUGUACAGGAAAAAAUGUGGUUAACCAGAGUCUGCCUGAAAUCCUCAAU